rnacentral:rRNA from 1 species
GACGAACGCUGGCGGCGUGCUUAACACAUGCAAGUCGAGCGGUAAGGCCUUUCGGGGUACACGAGCGGCGAACGAGUGAGUAACACGUGGGUGAUCUGCCCUGCACUCUGGGAUAAGCCUGGGAAACUGGGUCUAAUACUAGAUAUGACCUCAGCAUGCAUGUGCUGGGGUGGAAAGCUUUUGUGGUGCAGGAUGGGCCCGCGGCCUAUCAGCUUGUUGGUGGGGUAAUGGCCUACCAAGGCGACGACGGGUAGCCGACCUGAGAGGGUGACCGGCCACACUGGGACUGAGACACGGCCCAGACUCCUACGGGAGGCAGCAGUGGGGAAUAUUGCACAAUGGGCGGAAGCCUGAUGCAGCGACGCCGCGUGAGGGAUGAAGGCCUUCGGGUUGUAAACCUCUUUCAGCAGGGACGAAGCGUGAGUGACGGUACCUGCAGAAGAAGCACCGGCUAACUACGUGCCAGCAGCCGCGGUAACAC